rnacentral:rRNA from 1 species
AGAGUUUGAUCCUGGCUCAGAACGAACGCUGGCGGCAGGCCUCAAACAUGCAAGUCUAGGGGGCGUAGCAAUACGUCACCGGCGGACGGGUGCGUAACACGUGGGAAUGUACUUAUUGGUUCGGAACAACUCAGGGAAACUUGAGCUAAUACCGAAUGUGCCCGAAAGGGGAAAGAUUUAUCGCCAAUAAAUCAGCCCGCGUCCGAUUAGCUAGUUGGUGGGGUAAAGGCCCACCAAGGCGACGAUCGAUAGCUGUUCUGAGAGGAAGAUCAGCCACACUGGGACUGAGACACGGCCCAGACUCCUACGGGAGGCAGCAGUUGGGAAUCUUGGACAAUGGGGGAAACCCUGAUCCAGCCAUGCCGCGUGAGUGAUGAAGGCCUUCGGGUUGUAAAACUCUUUCGACGGGGACGAUAAUGACGGUACCCGUAGAAGAAGCUCCGGCUAACUUCGUGCCAGCAGCCGCGGUAAUACGAAGGGGGCUAGCGUUGUUCGGAAUUACUGGGCGUAAAGCGCGCGCAGGCGGUCUUCCAAGUCAGUGGUGAAAGCCCGGAGCUCAACUCCGGAACUGCCAUUGAAACUGUUAGACUUGAGGACGAGAGAGGUGAGUGGAAUUCCCAGUGUAGAGGUGAAAUUCGUAGAUAUUGGGAAGAACACCGGUGGCGAAGGCGGCUCACUGGCUCGUUUCUACGCUCAGGCGCGACAGCGUGGGGAUCAAACAGGAUUAGAUACCCUAGUAGUCC